GCAAGUGAUAUAUCAGAUUCUUAUUAAGAGAGAGAGAGAGAGAGAAACUCCAGUAGUAGUAGCAUGAUCAGGAAGUGGUUGCUGUGUUUUAGGAUAGAGAUGAUGGGGCCUGGACCAAGUAGGUGCUAACAGAGAGGCAGAAAAGUAGUCGUGGAAGGUCUAUUUUAGAGGUUGAAACUGCAGCAUAAAAAAAAAAAAAAAAAAAAGACACUGCAGCAUAAGCACAGAUGAAAAAAUGAAAGCUAAAAGGGAGGAAAUGGUAGGAACACCAAGGAUGUCCAGAUUCAAAAGACAUUUUGGAAAGAGAAUUUACAGAGCUGAUCACUAAACAGUAUGGACUGUCUGGAUGGGGCCACCUACUUCACCAUGCCAUCAAACAUCUUUGUCCAUAGUAUGCUCAUACAGAAGACUGCAAGAGUUUAUGAAAUUCCUUAUGGAGGAAGAAAAUCAGUGUCUUCCGCGCCCAUAGCAUCAAUGCUAUCUCCCCAGAGAAAGGAGGGUGCUAAGCUGUGCAUUGGAGAAGAAAAAACAGGAGUGUGAGGAUAUGAAGAAGGUUUAUUUCCUCAAGAGGCAGCAAGUCCUCUGUCCCAGAGAUUCCAAUAAGGGGUUGCAGGUCACUUAACCAGCAGUGUUCUUUAAUGUCUUCUAGCAUGGAGGAUGGAUGAAGACAAGCUUGUGUGUCAACUAUAGUUCAAUAAAAAAUAAAAAUAAAUAAAAAUCA
rnacentral:lncRNA from 12 species